rnacentral:sRNA from 1 species
CAUGUGUCUGUGUUGGGUGUGGCCUCCAGGUCAGUGAUGCAGGACUUCUGGAGAAGGAGCUGCUUGGGGGGAUGGGGGCCCAGCGCCCUGGCCGACCCCUCAGGGCUGUGGGUCCGGAUGCCGCUGACUGUCCUGUGGGUCACCGUGACGCUCGCCAUGGCGCUGUUUAUGCCUGACCUCAGCGAGAUCGUCAGCAUCAUCGGAGGCAUCAGUUCCUUCUUCAUCUUCAUCUUCCCAGGUUUGUGCCUCAUCUGUGCAAUGGGCGUCGAGCCUAUAGGACCAAGAGUCAAGUGCUGCCUGGAGGUCUGGGGAGUGGUGUCUGUGCUGGUCGGCACCUUCAUCUUUGGGCAGAGCACGGCGGCAGCGGUCUGGGAGAUGUUCUGAUGGGCAGCCAGUGCCGGGCAGGAAGGGGCCCUCCGGGGCUGACCCUACGUGGCUGCUGUGUGCAGCCAGGAGACCGAUGUCAUUUCUUUUCGUCAUAAAGAUGCUGGAGAGACUGA